GGGCCCGCACAAGCGGUGGAGCAUGUGGUUUAAUUCGACGCAACGCGAAGAACCUUACCUGGGUUUGACAUGCAUCAGACAGGUGUAGAAAUACACCCUCCCUUCGGGGCUGGUGCACAGGUGCUGCAUGGCUGUCGUCAGCUCGUGUCGUGAGAUGUUGGGUUAAGUCCCGCAACGAGCGCAACCCUCGUUCCUAGUUGCCAGCGGAUAACGCCGGGCACUCUAGAAAGACUGCCGGUGGUAAGCCGGAGGAAGGUGGGGAUGACGUCAAGUCCUCAUGGCCCUUACGCCCAGGGCUACACACGUGCUACAAUGGCCGAAACAAAGGGUUCCGAUACCGCGAGGUGGAGGUAAUCCCAAAAAAUCGGUCUCAGUUCGGACUGCAGUCUGCAACUCGACUGCACGAAGGCGGAAUCGCUAGUAAUCGCUGAUCAGCAGGCAGCGGUGAAUACGUUCCCGGGCCUU
rnacentral:rRNA from 1 species